rnacentral:misc_RNA from 1 species
AUUGGCCCUGCAGGCAGUGGGAAGGUUAUUUGCAUGAACAUAACAUUUUGCUAUUGUUACUCAUCUGUUGUUACCCAUUUUCAUUUUUUUUUUUUAAAUUUCUGGCCCCUUCUUGUUUUGGUUCAUUUAUUGAGAUUUUAGAAAAGUGCUUCAAUCUUUUGCUUGGUUAACAAGAAUUAUUAUUUAUGAUUUGGUGUUGUACGCUCCAGUGACUAUAUAUGUCUUUCUGAUUAUGCAGUCCACUUAUUGCUCUAGUUUG